UACGUAGGUGGCAAGCGUUGUCCGGAUUUACUGGGCGUAAAGGAUGCGUAGGCGGCCAUUUAAGUCAGAUGUGAAAUCCCCGAGCUUAACUUGGGUGCUGCAUUUGAAACUGGGUGUCUAGAGUGCAGGAGAGGUAAGUGGAAUUCCUAGUGUAGCGGUGAAAUGCGUAGAGAUUAGGAAGAACACCAGUGGCGAAGGCGACUUACUGGACUGUAACUGACGCUGAGGCAUGAAAGCGUGGGGAGCAAACAGG
rnacentral:rRNA from 1 species